UUUCUUUGAGUGGGAGAAGGGAGUCCAGUGGUUUGCUGAAUAAUUUCUCACUCGUCUCUGUGCGAGUAAACUUCCUUAGUAAGGUAUCGACUUACUGACCAAGAAGUCUGUGUUUUGAGCGUCAAUCACCAUGGAUGCAUCCUUUGGUCUACCUCCUCCAUCGAUCAAUUCCGAUUCUCCCCAACAAGAUGAACAGAUGGA
rnacentral:misc_RNA from 1 species